GACGAACGCUGGCGGCGUGCUUAACACAUGCAAGUCGAACGGAAAGGCCCUGCUUUUGUGUGGUGCUCGUUUGGCUAACGGGUGUGUAACACGUGUGUAACCUGCCCUUGACUUUGGGAUAUCUUCUUGAAACUUGGGCUAAUACCCGAUCGGAUCUCCUGCUGCAUGGUUGGGGUUGGAACGUUUCGGCGGUUGGGGAUGGACUCGCUGCUUAUCAGCUUGUUGGUGGGGUAGUUGCUUACCAAGGCUUUGACGGGUAGCCGGCAUGAGAGGGUGACCGGCAACAAGGGGAAUGAGAUACGGCACAGAGUGCAACGGGAGGCAGCAGUGGGGAAGAUUGCACAAUGGGCGGAAGCCUGAGGCAGAAACGCAGCGAGCGGGAAGAAGGCCUUCGGGUUGGAAACAGCUUUAGAAUGUGACGAAGAGGGAGUGACGGUAAUGGGUAAAGAAGCACCGGCUAACUACGUG
rnacentral:rRNA from 1 species